rnacentral:rRNA from 1 species
AGAUAAUAGAUACCCCGGUAGUCCUGGCUGUAAACGAUGGGCACUUGAUGUGGCGGGUACUGACCCCCGCCGUGUCGAAAGCUAAACGCGUUAAGUGCCCCGCCUGGGGAGUACGGUCGCAAGGCUGAAACUACAAAGGAAAUUGACGGGGGCCCGGCACAAGCGGUGGAGCAUGUGGUUUAAAUUCGAUGCAACGCGAAGAACCUUACCUGGGUUUGAAUUGCUGGUGACCGCUCCAGAGAUGGAGCUUUCCUUCGGGACACCAGUGAAGGUGUUGCAUGGCUGUCGUCAGCUCGUGUCGUGAGAUGUGGGUUAAGUCCCGCAACGAGCGCAACCCUUGCCCUUAGUUGCCAUCAUUAAGUUGGGCACUCUAGGGGGACUGCCCGGGAUAACCGGAGGAACGUGGGGAUGACGUCAAGUCCUCAUGGCCCUCAU